rnacentral:rRNA from 1 species
GACAGAGGUGCCGAGCGUUAGGCGGAAUCACUGGGCUUAAAGCGUGUGUAGGCGGGCGGGCAAGUACCUUGUGAAAUCCCACGGCUCAACCGUGGAACGGCUGGGUAUACUGCCUGUCUUGAGCCAACUAGGGGCGAGCGGAACAGACGGUGGAGCGGUGAAAUGCGUAGAUAUCGUCUGGAACGCCGAAGGUGAAAACAGCUCGCUGGGGUUGUGCUGACGCUGGAGAACACGAAAGCCAGGGGAGGCGAACGGG